UACGGAGGAUGCGAGCGUUAUCCGGAUUUAUUGGGUUUAAAGGGUGCGUAGGCGGGUAAAUAAGUCAGUGGUGAAAGUUUUGGGCUCAACCUAAAAAUUGCCAUUGAAACUGUUUAUCUUGAGAAUAGUAGAAGUAAGCGGAAUGUGUUGUGUAGCGGUGAAAUGCUUAGAUAUGACACAGAACCCCAAUUGCGAAGGCAGCUUACUAGAGUAUAUCUGACGCUGAAGCACGAAAGCGUGGGUAUCAAAC
rnacentral:rRNA from 1 species